rfam:Oxobacter pfennigii strain DSM 3222 OXPF_contig000068, whole genome shotgun sequence.
UUAUAUGUUCAGCUGAGUCCGGUGGUACCGGAGCGGGGGAGAAACUUAAUUGGGGUGUAUCUUAUUAAAGAGGGCUACUCUAUGGCCUAACCCGACAACUAACCUCGUAAGCGGGAUAGAGGAGGUUA